UACGUAGGGUGCAAGCGUUGUCCGGAAUUAUUGGGCGUAAAGAGCUUGUAGGCGGUUUGUCGCGUCUGCUGUGAAAUUUCGGGGCUCAACCCCGAACUUGCAGUGGGUACGGGCAGACUAGAGUGUGGUAGGGGAGACUGGAAUUCCUGGUGUAGCGGUGAAAUGCGCAGAUAUCGGGAGGAACAUCAGUGGCGAAGGCGGCUGCCUGGCCCAAUACUGACACUCAGGUGCGACAGCGUGGGGAGCAAACAGG
rnacentral:rRNA from 1 species